CAGCCUGGCUAGCUGGGAGGCAGUGCAGUAGUGAGAGGCAUGGCAGCAGAACUUGCGCGGUGUCGGUGAGGGGUAGCUUUGUGGUUGUGCACCGUUAUUCAUGGUCGAAACGCUAAGACGAAUAAAGCAUCGUGGCUAGUGGUUCAACUUUGAUUCCGCCAGUACUUUUCGACUUCAGUGACCAUGGGUUGCAAGGAGAAAUACAGCGCGUUGAAGAAGCGGAGAGCCAUUGCCAAGGGUGUCUACUGCCUCCUCCUAUGGUCAAGAGAAGAGAAUCUGUGCCGGGAACGAGGAACGUAGUUGCGGCUG